CGGAGCUCGGCGCCGAAGCCGCCGUCCCGCGGGCCGCGAACGGUGUUUGUAAUUUCUACGUUUUUACACGUUCGUUUAUUUGUUUUUAUUUUUCGCGCUCCGUGCUCCGCGCCGCGGGACGCGAAGGGCGAGGGGGGAAACGCAGCCGUCGCCUCGCCGUUUACUCGAGAGAAAUCGGGGCGAGCAGCGAGAGGAGCUCCCGAGCCCGGCCCCGCCGUGCCGCCCCGCCGCCGCCCGCAGGAAAAGCGGCCUUCUGGUUUGAGCGCGCGUGUGAUGGCGCUGCCUUCGAAAUACAGACGCUCCGGCUGAAAUCCGCAUCGACGCUUCUCGCUGCAGCCUCGGGGCGUCCGCGCUGUAAGGCUCCGGCCGUUCGUGCCGGCGCACCGAGACGCCGACUCCGGACUGCGUCACGGAGCAGCUUCAGCCGCACCGCCGCGCGCGUAGCACCCCGCCCCCCCGUGACAGUGCUGAUGGGCCCGCUGGCACGGACAAGUGUAGCUGAAGAAAUUAAUGUACUUUCCGCGUAGGAGAACGGAGGCGAAGAACGCAGGCGGCGCGCUUGAAGUCCCGCGGAUAGGUGACGCGGCGGUCACUCGCUUCCCGGCUCGGGACGCGGGGCGAGACGUCGCUCACAGCGCCUGGAUCCGCGUAGCUAAUUGCGGCCCGGCCGCGCCUUCCCGCUGAGGAGGGAUAACGAGCGGGGCCGGAAAACCUGCUGACGUACCCGGGAGAGGGAGAAGUGACAGCCGGGGAGCGGCAACCGCCGAACGGCGGAACGGUCACGCACGUUCCCCCGGGAGCGGAGCGGGGGUUCGUUGCGGCGCGGCGCUCCGGAGCUCAACGUCC
ensembl:lncRNA